GCGGCAACAGCUCAAAUUUGAAAGCUGGCCCCCCCGGGGGUCCGCGUUGUAAUUUGUAGAGGUUUUCUGGCCGAGGGCUCCCGCCUAAGCCCCUGGAACGGGGCGUCAUAGAGGGGAGAAUCCCGUAUGCGGUGGGCUGCCUUAGCCAUGUGAAUCUCCUUCGACGAGUCGAGUUGUUUGGGAAUGCAGCUCUAAAUGGGAGGUAAAUUUCUUCUAAAGCUAAAUACCGGCCAGAGACCGAUAGCGCACAAGUAGAGUGAUCGAAAGAUGAAAAGCACUUUGGAAAGAGAGUUAAAAAGUACGUGAAAUUGUUGAAAGGGAAGCGCUUGCAGCCAGACUUGUCCGCAGUUGCUCAGCCGGUCUCCUGACCGGCGCACUCUUCUGCGGCCAGGCCAGCAUCAGUUCGGGCGGUCGGAUAAAGGCCCCGGGAACGUAGCUCCUCUCGGGGAGUGUUAUAGCCCGGGGUGGAAUGCGGCCAGCCUGGACUGAGGAUCUCGCUUCGGCUAGGAUGCUGGCGUAAUGGCUGUAAGCGGCCCGUCUUGAA
rnacentral:rRNA from 1 species